UUGUACAGGUAAUGUCAAUCUGAUGGAGACAGUGAGCUUAUGUCUACACAAACAUCUGAUCACUAUAAACAAAUCAUCUGUGUGGUUGUUUGUUAAGAAAUUGUCAAACCCUCAUACAUCAUUUAACGAUGGGAGAGUCCAUCAUAUAUAUGUAUAUAUACAAACAUUUAUCCU